AUUUAUAUAAUUUAAUUAAAAUAUUAUAGUUUCAUUAUAAAAAUAAUAAAAUUUAUUUAUAAAUU
rnacentral:tRNA from 1 species